AGAGUUUGAUCCUGGCUCAGGAUGAACGCUGGCGGCGUGCCUAACACAUGCAAGUCGAGCGAAGCACUUUGCUUAGAUUCUUCGGAUGAAGAGGAUUGUGACUGAGCGGCGGACGGGUGAGUAACGCGUGGGUAACCUGCCUCAUACAGGGGGAUAACAGUUAGAAAUGACUGCUAAUACCGCAUAAGACCACAGCACCGCAUGGUGCGGGGGUAAAAACUCCGGUGGUAUGAGAUGGACCCGCGUCUGAUUAGCUAGUUGGUAAGGUAACGGCUUACCAAGGCGACGAUCAGUAGCCGACCUGAGAGGGUGACCGGCCACAUUGGGACUGAGACACGGCCCAAACUCCUACGGGAGGCAGCAGUGGGGAAUAUUGCACAAUGGGGGAAACCCUGAUGCAGCGACGCCGCGUGAGUGAAGAAGUAUUUCGGUAUGUAAAGCUCUAUCAGCAGGGAAGAAAAUGACGGUACCUGACUAAGAAGCCCCGGCUAACUACGUGCCAGCAGCCGCGGUAAUACGUAGGGGGCAAGCGUUAUCCGGAUUUACUGGGUGUAAAGGGAGCGUAGACGGUAGACCAAGUCUGAAGUGAAAGCCCGGGGCUCAACCCCGGAACUGCUUUGGAAACUGGUAAACUAGAGUGCAGGAGAGGUAAGUGGAAUUCCUAGUGUAGCGGUGAAAUGCGUAGAUAUUAGGAGGAACACCAGUGGCGAAGGCGGCUUACUGGACUGUAACUGACGCUGAGGCACGAAAGCGUGGGGAGCAAACAGGAUUAGAUACCCUGGUAGUCCACGC
rnacentral:rRNA from 1 species